rnacentral:rRNA from 1 species
AAUCAACGCUGGCGGCGUGCCUCAGACAUGCAAGUCGAACGAUUAAAGCUCUCUUCGGAGAGUGCAUAGAGUGGCGCACGGGUGAGUAACACGUAAGUAAUCUACCUUCGAGUGGGGAAUAACGUCCGGAAACGGACGCUAAUACCGCAUAAUGCAGCGGCAUCGUAAGAUGACAGUUGUUAAAGAUUUAUCGCUUGAAGAGGAGCUUGCGGCAGAUUAGCUAGUUGGUAAGGUAAUGGCUUACCAAGGCUACGAUCUGUAACCGGUCUUAGAGGACGGUCGGUCACACUGACACUGAAUAACGGGUCAGACUCCUACGGGAGGCAGCAGUCGGGAAUUUUGGGCAAUGGGCGAAAGCCUGACCCAGCAACGCCGCGUGAAGGAUGAAGUAUUUCGGUAUGUAAACUUCGCAAAUAUGGGAAGAACAAAAUGACGGUACCAUAUGUAAGCCCCGGCUAACUCCGUG